AUUGAACGCUGGCGGCAGGCCUAACACAUGCAAGUCGAGCGAGCGGCGGACGGGUGAGUAAUGUCUGGGAAACUGCCUGAUGGAGGGGGAUAACUACUGGAAACGGUAGCUAAUACCGCAUACCAUCAGAUGUGCCCAGAUGGGAUUAGCUAGUAGGUGGGGUAACGGCUCACCUAGGCGACGAUCCCUAGCUGGUCUGAGAGGAUGACCAGCCACACUGGAAAGGAGAAACGGUCCAGAAGCGGACGGGAGUCAGAAGUGGGGAAUAUUGCACAAUGGGCGCAAGCCUGAGGCAGCCAUGCCGCGUGUGUGAAGAAGGACUUCGGGUUGUAAAGCACUUUCAGCGGGGAGGCGUUACCCGCAGAAGAAGCACCGGCUAACUCCGUGCCAGCAGCCGCGGUAAUAC
rnacentral:rRNA from 1 species